CAGCUGCCAAGCGCACAUGUAACAGGUCAGCCAGUGUCAUAGGUACAAAACUGCUGACAGAUGCCCUUUAACCUCAAUUUCCAAAAUCUCUGUUUGCUGUCAAUGAGUGGGAGCAUUUUCUAUAACGCCCAGCUGCUGAAAACCUAUACAGACCUUAUACUUCUGGCUGCUGACAGUUUAUUACUAUAGUAUUGGUCUAAUCCCAACUCCUCAGCAGCACAAGUCUCUCUGCUCUGUCCUGCCUGAUACAUUUUCUUUACACUGAUACAUUGUAUCUGAUUGUUUAGGGGGCGGAGUUCACAUCUGCAGUUCAGAGUCACUGUCAAAAAGACCGGACAAAAUAAACUGAAUGGACUCUAUUGUAGUCAAUGGAGUCUGUUCGGGUCAGGUAUGUGCCCUAUCCUGCACUUCCGGCUUUCUGCUCCUGUAACGGGGUAGAAAAACGGAAAUCUUUAGCGGUGAUGUGAACUCCAGGGGAUUUCCUAGUCUGGAUACGACUGUAACCAAACUCUCCAGUGAGGAAAAGGAUUAGACCAGGACAAGUGGAUGGAAGCAGGAAUGGUUCUAUUCACUGACAGCAAGCAAACAUCACGGAAAUGGUGAGGGAUUUAUACAAAAUUUCAGAAGGUUUCCUUCUGCAAUGAUGAAGCUUGAUUGGAUGCACAGUGUGUUGGAGCAGGGGGCUCAUCAUCCGCCUAAUCAGCGCUGCAGACACUUUUAAGAGAUGUUAUUAUGGAAUCAAUGGUAACAAUGUAAUUGCACAGAAGAGGACGCCAAUCAGCAAUUUAGGUGACCGGAGACGCUGAGUGAUUAGUGGGUCGCGGUAAUAAGUGCCUGGCGAUGGGCGGUAAUUAUUGUCAUUUAUUUACCUGCAAUUGAGAAAGUUCAAGGGUUCAUACAGUUUAUUAAUGCUGCUAGGUAUGAUGGCCGAGCGCCCGCCUAGUACUGGUUUACCCCUUGCUUAUGGAGGCUGUAGUCAGGAUAUGCUGGGAGUUGUAGUUUCUUGAACAGGUGUCCCAACUGUCUAUAAAUUUACAUAAAAUUCACCAAAAUUGGAUGUUUAUUUCAGCUGCCCAGUGGAGAAAAAACACUGCCUUAUCUAACUGCAUGGUGCAUGCGCCAGUUCUUGCAGGUGCAGCGCGGACUGGAUCUCUGAGGCAACAGAGCAGCGGAGAAAACUGAAUACGCCAACCGAAAUCCUAAGCCUUACCUACUCGGUCAGCCCUACAAGGGCCGUAGAGUUGGCGGAAUGGCAUCUAUGUUGUACAUGGCACAAGUAUGUCUUCAGAUAAUGUGGAAGACGUUCAGCAGCUGCAAGACCAUCUGAGUUUUACUAAAUAAGAAGCGUCCGGGAGUCCUGCCCACCCCUCACUUCAAUAACAAAAACAAGUAAUCUGGUCAUAGAAAAGAAGCAGGAUUACACAGGACGACGCAGCUUGAAACUAAUCCUUGGAAACAAACAUUUACAGUUACAAAAUGUGGGUUUUUCAGCUUGGACUCUGGCUGGGCGAUAUUCCCUUCCCUGGCAAUAAACAGGACCUUCCACCAGGGGGCGCUGCUGAACCGCUGCUCUGCACUCCUUGUAGCCUCCACUGGGACAGAGGGAUUUUCUACAAGGUUAAUAUUCUCUUCUACAAACGCAGCUCGGACGCCAAACACCACAGAACUAUAUUCACAGUAACACAGGAAAAUCACAACGAGGAGCACAGGCGGCAGAUUGAGGGUCGCUUCUUGCUUUCUAGAACACCCAAUGUGACACUGACGGCUAUGGGAGCUAAAAAUGAGACUUUUUCUUAGGUCUUUAGUUCUUGAGGUUGACGGUUCAGCGCCCCUGUGAGUAUUGCAUUUGUACCCAUGUCCCUAUGACAACACUUUCCUGCCUUGAUGCACUGGUAGCUGAGUGUUAUACAGACCCUAGGCUCCAGAAGCCAACCGUAGGUUACGUCCUUUAUCUCACAUUUUGCUAAGGGAUGGUCAACCUGUGCCCCCCCCCCCCCCCGCCCCAGCUGUUGUAAGACUACAACUCCUGUCGGGGCAUGCUGGGAGUUGUAGUUUUGCAACAGCUGGAGGGCCGCAGGUUGGGCAUCCCUGUGCUAAGAUAACAAACUGCCAGCGUGCAGGCAGGAAGAGCUGUCAUAGGGACAUGCAGAGGUUUUUUUCCUCAUAGGAAACUUGUAACUUCAACCUUGUGCUGCUCUGUAUAUGAUCUGGAAUUGUUAGUUGUUUUUUUGUGGUUUUUUUUUGUGUUUUUAUAAUAAGGAGAAUGGCUGAUGGUCUACAUUUAAUUUUAAGUCCUGGUGAUGACCCUAAGCCUUAAUUUUAAGAUGAGCGCCAAUAUUGAUAUAAUGAGCUGAUGUAUGUAGAAUAAGUCUGGGUUAAGGCACAGUAUCGUGUUGAUUUCCCCAUUAGAGAAUUUAGUGAAACUCUACAACACCCCUCGUCCACUGGGCCUCCUGUCCUGAGUAUCAGCUAUUGCCUAUUUACGUCACUAGGGGGCAUAGUUGUAGGUUACAGACCUUCCAUCCUUUCUGUAGGGGAAGUUGCUGAACGUGCACGGACUAUACACUGAGCUUCAGUUUACUCACAGCAGUCAAAUAUGAGCAAGCAGAGUUGCAGUUUAAAGCAUUGGGGGCUAAGUAGAGAUACCUUGUAUAAGACUUAGACAUUUUGGGAUCUGAUUUGCCUGUCAUUUCAUCAGCAGUGGGCACAAAGAACCGAAGCCUACAGAUAUUGGGUCUUUGGAUUCCUUCUACCUUCGGCCAUAUUGGACAUGUCCUGUAUGGAUUGAUACAUUUUAAGGCUAUGGCAACAUUUCUGGCUCGUGGCCCCUGCUGUCUGAUGGUGGAGGCAGCUUAAUUUAGGACGACAAUCAUUAAGUGAAUUGUGCUGAAGGAUGAUGCUAGGCCUGGCGAAUCCUUAAAUACGUUUUUUGAUGAAUUUCUUUACUUUAUUGCAAAAAAACAUUGAAUUGUGUACUAUGGUGUAGGACUGCUGAUAUACAAAAAGAAUAGUGCAAAAAUGCCUAAAAGCGAGGGAGGAAGGAUUCUGCUGAAAAAACUGGCAAUUGUCACAAAGGCCUAAAUGUGACAGAUUACAUGGAAAAUAAGUGUCACGUAUAAAAGGUGCAGUUCACGGGUCAAUAAGUGCUCUGAGCAGUGUAGUCUACUGAAUGCAUCAACUCCCAUUAUUAUGCCCCCUUGCUGGUACCUACAGCUGCUUUCUGUAGAUAAUGUAAGGUUAUUGGAAAUCCUCUGUCCCUUCCUUCCAUGAGCUGGGAGUGUGCACAGCCUGC